rnacentral:rRNA from 1 species
GAUGAACGCUGGCGGCGUGCCUAAUACAUGCAAGUCGAGCGAACGGACGAGAAGCUUGCUUCUCUGAUGUUAGCGGCGGACGGGUGAGUAACACGUGGAUAACCUACCUAUAAGACUGGGAUAACUUCGGGAAACCGGAGCUAAUACCGGAUAAUAUUUUGAACCGCAUGGUUCAAAAGUGAAAGACGGUCUUGCUGUCACUUAUAGAUGGAUCCGCGCUGCAUUAGCUAGUUGGUAAGGUAACGGCUUACCAAGGCAACGAUGCAUAGCCGACCUGAGAGGGUGAUCGGCCACACUGGAACUGAGACACGGUCCAGACUCCUACGGGAGGCAGCAGUAGGGAAUCUUCCGCAAUGGGCGAAAGCCUGACGGAGCAACGCCGCGUGAGUGAUGAAGGUCUUCGGAUCGUAAAACUCUGUUAUUAGGGAAGAACAUAUGUGUAAGUAACUGUGCACAUCUUGACGGUACCUAAUCAGAAAGCAACGGCUAGCUACGUG